UGAGAAUCCCGUCUUUGACACGGACUACCAGUGCUAUGUGAUGCGCUCUCGACGAGUCGAGUUGUUUGGGAAUGCAGCUCAAAACGGGUGGUAAACUCCAUCUAAAGCUAAAUACAGGCGAGAGACCGAUAGCGAACAAGUACCGUGAGGGAAAGAUGAAAAGAACUUUGGAAAGAGAGUUAAACAGUACGUGAAAUUGCUGAAAGGGAAACGCUUGAUGUCAGUCACGUUGGCUGGGGAUCAACCUUGCUUCUCGCUGGGUGUACUUCCCGGUCGACGGGUCAGCAUCAGUUUCAGUCGCCGUACAAGGGUGAAGGGAACGUGGCACUCCUCGGAGUGUGUUAUAGCCUUUCGUCGUAUGCGGUGGUCGGGACUGAGGUGCUCAGCACGGCUUCUUGCUUGUGCUCAGGAUGCUGGCAUAAUGGCCUUAAGCGACCCGUCUUGAAACACGGACCAAGGAGUCUAACAUGCCUGCGAGUGUUUGGGUGGUAAACCCGAGCGCGUAAUGAAAGUGAAAGUUGAGACCUCUGUCGUGGAGGGCAUCGACGCCCGGACCUGAGUCUUUGACGACGGAUCUGCGGUAGAGCAUGUAUGUUGGGACCCGAAAGAUGGUGAACUAUGCCUGAAUAGGGUGAAGCCAGAGGAAACUCUGGUGGAGGCUCGUAGCGAUUCUGACGUGCAAAUCGAUCGUCGAAUUUGGGUAUA
rnacentral:rRNA from 1 species